AUACAAUGAUGAUAACAUAGUUCAGCAGACUAACGCUGAUGAGCAAUAUUAAGUCUUUCGCUCCUAUCUGAUGUAUCUGGCGGUAACAUUCUAGUUUAUGCCCUGAAAAGGGGAAUAUAGCCAUUCUAUAAUGUUUGGAGAUUUUGGAUUACUCCUAAUUGUAUGCAAGUUGUCUUACUGUGUAUUGUCCCUUAAUUUCAGGACUCAGAAUUCAUGAUUGAAGAAAUGCAGGCAGACCUGUUAUCCUAAACUAGGGUUUUUAACGACCACAACAAGCAAGCAUGCAGCUUACUGCUUGAAAGGGUCUUGCCUCACCCAAGCUGGAGUGCAGUGGCCUUUGAAGCUUACUACAGCCUCAAACUUCUGGGCUCAAGUGAUCCUCAGCCUCCCAGUGGUCUUUGUAGACUGCCUGAUGGAGUCUCAU
rnacentral:sRNA from 1 species